GAAUUGUUCCGCAUGGAUAAAAAUGAGAUUCGGAACCAUCCCAGCAUCUGCGCCGUCGCCAAUGGACAAAGAAACGCCGCAAAACUCAACACAUUGACGUGUUCCGGUACAGUUUCAGUGCCGACAUCGACGGAGAUGAUCUUUGCAGAUAUUCUUCAUGCGCUCAUCGUUGUCCGACCGACGCUUCAAAGGAGAUACUGGACAGUUGUGUGAACAAACUUGGUUUUUGAAACAAAUUUACAAUACCGCAGUAUGAAGCUCGUCUCGUCAACCAAGGAAUAACUAUAUAAUAAUGAGUGUUUUAUUCAAUUAUCAAUACCAGACUAAUUUAGGUUUAUAGGUCUAUCGGAUUCAACUUGCUCUGCGCUCAAUUCCUAUGUUCCUCUGGAAGGUCUCAAGCUGACGGCUUGGUAGCUCAGAAACCUGGAGUAUCCACUCCGUCCUUUUUUGCCAAGUGACACAAUCCGCCCGAGGGUUUCGGACUACCUCGUACACCCACGAUUGGACAUACGGUGACAAAAGCUUCUACUACGCACAACGAGGACGAGGACGGAAUAGGAAAUGGGUAGCAGAGCCUGUGGGGCCGUCAAUAUAUUACGGUACAGAUGCUGGGAUGGUUCCGAAUCUCAUUUUUAUCCAUGCGGAACAAUUCUUUUGCUAGAAAGAUAUAAAAUAUAAGUUCGGAUUCGCGUUUGUUAUUGUUUUGCUUACCGGCUUCCUUGGACUUGUCAAUUUUUCAGCAACACGCGUUUUAAGAGCACCAAUACAAACAUACGUGUAAAAUCACUGUGU